GUGCUAACUUUGUCAGCACAUAUACUAAAAUUGGAAUAAUACAGAGAAGAUUAGCAUGGCCCUUGCACAAGGAUGAUAAGCAAAUUCGUGAAAUGUUUCACAUUUAA
ensembl:snRNA U6 U6 spliceosomal RNA